GGCACAUUGAUGCCGCAGGGAGGCCGUCCACCCCAUCUGGUUCAGGCCAUGACGCGCUUCAUUGAGGAGCACCGGCAGACAUAUGGUGUCGGGUCAAUCUGCAAGAUCCUGCCGAUUGCGCCA
rfam:Acetobacter tropicalis NBRC 101654 DNA, contig: 0219.